UUUCCGUAGGUGAACCUGCGGAAGGAUCAUUAAUGAAUGAACUUGGGCGUGGUUGUAGCUGGCCUCAGCGAUGGGGCAUGUGCACGCCGCGUUCAUCCACCCUUCACACCUCUGUGCACUUCUCAUGGGUCGGGUCGCGUCUGAAAUAUGGCGAAGCCCUUCUCAUGUGUUUUACCACACACUAUACAAGUUUUAGAAUGUAACAAUCGUGCAUUAAUGCAUAUAAUACAACUUUCAGCAACGGAUCUCUUGGCUCUCGCAUCGAUGAAGAACGCAGC
rnacentral:misc_RNA from 1 species